CAUUUCCUGGGCGCCUUAAUAAUUAUUCUUGGCCUUAUUACCCAAAACGUGUCGAGUGAAACUCAUUUUCUCUUCUCCUUUCUCUUCUUUCUUCUUUCUUCUUCUAUCGUCCUGUUCUUCUUCUUCUGCGAUUGAUUGAGGUUUCGUGAGAGUUUUUGUUGAGGUAAAUCAGUUGAGGGAGAUGUAUAGAUGAAAAAGGGAUUCCCUGUUCUAUAGGAUUUGAGUGUAGAAGAUGGUGUUGAUGAAGAAUCGAUAAAAGAACGAUUCCAAGGAUGAACCAGUGGAUUGUGGAUUUCAAGGUAGGCGUGGCUUGACAUCAAAUCAGUUUCAGUAUUCAGAAGAAAAGGCGCACGUGAAGAUAAUCGUUUCUGUAGCGUAAAGUUUUCAGCGAGUUGAAGAUGUUAUUUAUAUUUUAUAUAUGUAUUCUUUCUCUGUAAACAACACAUGGUUAUAUUCAUAUCACAUGAGAGAUCUUCAUCUAUAUUAUAUCAGAGUCUAUGGGUUUGUUUUUGGAUUUAGCUUAUGUAGUAGAGACUCUUAAGAUUGUUAAUCUAGAUUUUAUGCUUCAAUUAGGUUGUAAUCCUAUUAGCUAAACAGGUUUAGUACUUGGGGCGUCACAAUUUUCCUUUUUCUUUUUGGACUUUUUGGACAUUAUUUGGACUUUGGACAUUAUUUUUUUA